CAAAUUUAAAGUCAAAUAUUAUUAGAAGAGUAAAUCUUUAAUUUAAAGUUCCAUCUAUUUAUGGGUAUGUGUGGAACCGGUUUUGUUUGGUCAAAAUAAACAUCAUAGAUUUUGAAGUGCAUAUGAAAAUUUCUAGAACCCACGUCACUUAUUAAGGUUGAAAUAUGCUUGGCUUGGUAUUUUGAGAACUAUAAAAGAGUCUCGCCCAAGGAUCUUGAAGGAGAAUUAAUAUUACUCAUUGAACUUAUGGGAAAUUAUGGUACAAUCAGUGACCCAAAUUAAUUUCAUAGAUGUGGUUUGAAUCAAUGGAUUCUGAUCGUCAAAGAAAGUCUUCGGAAAGCUUAGUUCAUUCUCGAUNNN
rnacentral:lncRNA from 1 species